GUCCAAGGUGAUUCCCUCUCCAAUGGUCUGAGUAUGUGCCUUUUUUCAGGAAUGUAGCAAGUUGGAAGAAAACCAGGCAUGUCUGAGGUCUCUGCUGAUCAAGGAACACUUGUUUCCUUAGCCCUCCUCUGGCUGCCUACAUGU
rfam:Mus musculus chromosome X, GRC primary reference assembly.